rnacentral:rRNA from 1 species
AGUGGCGAACGGGUGAGUAAUGAAUCGCUAAUGUGCCCCGGACUCUGGGAUAGCCGACCGAAAGGGCGGGUAAUACCAGAUGAGACCACGGAAAGGCAUCUUUCUGUGCUCAAAGGUCCGCCGGUCUGGGAGCAGGCGAUUUCGUAUCAGCUUGUUGGUGAGGUAACGGCUCACCAAGGCGACGACGCGUAGCCGGACUGAGAGGUUGGCCGGCCACAUCGGGACUGAGACACUGCCCGGACUCCUACGGGGGGCUGCAGUAACGAAUCUUCCGCAAUGCACGAAAGUGUGACGGAGCGACGCCGCGUGUGGGACCAAGUCCUUCGGGAUGUAAACCACUGUCAGGGGAAAGAAAGUUCUGAUCUACCCCAGAGGAAGAGGCGGCUAACUCUGUGCCAGCAGCCGCGGUAAUACAGAGGCCUCGAGCGUUAGGCGGAAUCACUGGGCUUAAAGCGUGUGUAGGCGGAUGUCUAAGUGCUUUGUGAAAUCCCACGGCUUAACCGUGGAACUGCUUGGCAUACUGGACGUCUUGGGCCACCUAGGGGCGAGCGGAACAGACGGUGGAGCGGUGAAAUGCGUAGAUAUCGUCUGGAACGCCUAUGGUGAAAACAGCUCGCUGGGGGUGUGCCGACGCUGAGACACGAAAGCCAGGGGAGCGAACGGGAUUAGAUACCCCGGUAGUCCUGGCCCUAAACGAUGUCCACUAGAUCGUAGUACCUCUGACGGUUUUACGGUCGAAGCAAAAGUGCUAAGUGGACCGCCUGGGAAGUACGGUCGCAAGGCUAAAACUCAAAGGAAUUGACGGGGGCUCACACAAGCGGUGGAGCAUGUGGUUCAAUUCGAAGCAACGCGCAGAACCUUACCUGGGUUUGACAUGCCUGGAUUAUUCCCAUGAAAGUGGGAUACGCCUUCGGGUGGAACAGGCACAGGUGCUGCAUGGCUGUCGUCAGCUCGUGUCGUGGGAUGUCGGGUUAAGUCCCUUAACGAGCGAAACCUUUGCCCUUAGUUACCAUCGAGUAAAGUCGGGGACUCUAAGGGGACUGCCGGUGUCAAACCGGAGGAAGGUGGAGAUGACGUCAA